rnacentral:tRNA from 1 species
GAGGGUAUAGCUCAAGUGGUAUGAGUGCAUGCUUAGCAUGCACGAGGUCCUGGGUUCAAUCCCCAGUACCACCU